rnacentral:tRNA from 1 species
AAAAAGAUAAGCUAAAUAAAGCUUUUAGGCUCAUAACCUAAAUAUAGAAUUAACUAUUCUUCUUUUUA